AUGAAAUCUACACCACCAUCUAGCGUUUCCAUAGUUUUAUUUCAAUGUUAUAAGAAGCCUAUAGAAAAAUAUUGUAAUUUCCUGAUAUACAGUACAAGCAUGAAUAUACAGCAGGAGUGGAAGGUAACCUGCCUCCUGGAGAGUUACUGUGUGUGUAGGCUUCUGCUUUGGGAUCUGGUUAGAGCACUGCUGGAGAAAAGCAGCUUUCCAGGAGGAGGGAUACCCACAGCAGCUCUACGGGAGGACGGUUACCCACAGCAGCUCUACCCACAGCAGCUCUACGGGAGGAGGGAUACCCACAGCAGCUCUACAGGAGGAGGGAUACCCACAGCAGCUCUACAGGAGGACGGUUACCCACAGCAGUUCUAUAGGAGGAGGGUUACCUACAGCAGUUCUACAGGAGGACGGUUACCCACAGCAACUCUACAGGAGGAGGGAUACCCACAGCAGUUCUACAGGAGGAGGGUUACCUACAGCAGUUCUACAGGAGGACGGUUACCCACAGCAACUCUACAGGAGGAGGGUUACCCACAGCAGCUCUACGGGAGGACGGUUACCCACAGCAGCUCUACAGGAGGACGGUUACCCACAGCAGCUCUACAGUGUGCAUCGUUGGUUGUAUGUCUGAUACUUUAAAGAAUUCCAUAUUCUGCUCUGUAUGAGAUCGCUAAAGCACGGUUCCUUCAUACACCAACACCUACAUUCAAUAGCCAGAAUCAGGGGGAGAGAGAAGAAUGGGAGAGAGAGAGAAAAGAGAGAGAGAAGAAUGUAAGAGAGAGAGGGAGAGAGAUUUAAAUAAAUUGCAUGCGUGUUUUUGUGACAAGUUUGAAGUGUCUGAUUGGCUGUCUGCCCCCCUGUCUGCGAGGGCAUAUGUCUAUGACUCUGUGUAAUGGGACUAUCAAACUCGUAACAACUUGUCCAAGAAUAGCAUCAUUGUUGUUUUUUGGGAAAACUUCUCCAUCUGUGUUGAAGUUCUCUACACACAGCUGUGUAAUAAUGCUGCUCAGCUCUGUUACACGAUGUCACCCGUUGUCAGGGCAACAAGUUUUGUCCAUUGUCAGAGAAACAAGGUGGUUCCAUUGUCAGGGUUCAAGAUGUGCCAGUUGCAGGGCAACAAGGUGGGUACACAUCAGGGAACAAGUUGUGUCCUGUCAGAG
rnacentral:lncRNA from 1 species